AAAUGUCAUUCUAAUUCGUUUUCUCUUGUAUGCUUUUGCUGAGUAUAUUGUUUAUAAUUUAACAAUUACAAUCUUCCAGGUGACUGAUAAGAUGAUGUUCAAUGCUUCUAACAUCUUCCCUCACAACACGCCGACUACAAAAGAAGCGUAUUACUACUGGAUGAUUUUCGAGAGGUUCUUCCCUCAGAACUCUGCUAAAUUGACCGUCCCCGGAGGAGCUAGUGUGGCAUGCAGCACUGCUAAAGCUGUUGAGUGAGAUGCUGCUUGGAAAAACAACCUCGACCCCUCAGGCCGGGCUGCUUUGGGCGUUCAUCUCUCUCCUUAAGAUGCCGAAACUCCUCUCAGCAACAAGCCAUCCAAGGUUAUAGAUAGUACGAUGGAAAUUCCUGGUGUUGCCAUGCAAAGCUAGUGCCUACUUAAAGGAAUCAAAUCGUGUCGACUUAUAAUAAGGGAGUAGAAUCUGUGUGGCAUGUCCAUCGAACUUCGGAAUGCGUUGCUGUAUAAUAUAGGCGAUGUAUACCGGUACUAAAAGAUUCCGAAAUCGUCCGAUCAUCUUUGUUAUCAUCAAGGCUAUUGUUUCCUAUGUUUUCUACGUGUGUAAUCGAUAUUCUGUGGUGGAAGUUAAUCAUGUAUGAGAGUCUUCCCUUUUGUUGGUGUAA